rnacentral:rRNA from 1 species
AGUUUGAUUCUGGCUCAGGAUGAACGCUGGCGGCGUGCUUAACACAUGCAAGUCGAACGGAGAUAUUGAAAGCUUGCUUUUAGAUAUCUUAGUGGCGGACGGGUGAGUAACGCGUGGGUAACCUACCCUGUACAGGGGGAUAGCAGUUGGAAACGACUGAUAAAACCGCAUAAAACGGCAGUACCGCAUGGUACAACCGUCAAAUAUUCAUAGGUACAGGAUGGGCCCGCGUCUGAUUAGCUAGUUGGUGGGGCAACGGCCUACCAAGGCGAUGAUCAGUAGCCGGCCUGAGAGGGUGAACGGCCACAUUGGGACUGAGACACGGCCCAAACUCCUACGGGAGGCAGCAGUGGGGAAUAUUGGACAAUGGGGGAAACCCUGAUCCAGCGACGCCGCCGUGAGUGAAGAAGUAUUUCGGUAUGUAAAGCUCUAUCAGCAGGGAAGAUGAUGACGGUACCUGACUAAGAAGCACCGGCUAAAUACGUGCCAGCAGCUGC